AACGAACGCUGGCGGCAGGCCUAACACAUGCAAGUCGAGCGCACCUUCGGGUGAGCGGCGGACGGGUGAGUAACGCGUGGGAAUAUGCCCUUCACUGCGGAAUAGCCUCGGGAAACUGAGAGUAAUACCGCAUACGCCCUUCGGGGGAAAGAUUUAUCGGUGAAGGAUUAGCCCGCGUUGGAUUAGGUAGUUGGUGGGGUAAUGGCCUACCAAGCCGACGAUCCAUAGCUGGUUUGAGAGGAUGAUCAGCCACACUGGGACUGAGACACGGCCCAGACUCCUACGGGAGGCAGC
rnacentral:rRNA from 1 species